rnacentral:rRNA from 1 species
GUAACGCGUGGGAACGUGCCUUCCGGUUCGGAAUAACCCUGGGAAACUAGGGCUAAUACCGGAUACGCCCUUAUGGGGAAAGGUUUACUGCCGGAAGAUCGGCCCGCGUCUGAUUAGCUAGUUGGUGGGGUAACGGCCUACCAAGGCGACGAUCAGUAGCUGGUCUGAGAGGAUGAUCAGCCACACUGGGACUGAGACACGGCCCAGACUCCUACGGGAGGCAGCAGUGGGGAAUAUUGGACAAUGGGCGCAAGCCUGAUCCAGCCAUGCCGCGUGAGUGAUGAAGGCCUUAGGGUUGUAAAGCUCUUUUAUCCGGGACGAUAAUGACGGUACCGGAGGAAUAAGCCCCGGCUAACUUCGUGCCAGCAGCCGCGGUAAUACGAAGGGGGCUAGCGUUGCUCGGAAUCACUGGGCGUAAAGGGCGCGUAGGCGGCGUUUUAAGUCGGGGGUGAAAGCCUGUGGCUCAACCACAGAAUGGCCUUCGAUACUGGGACGCUUGAGUAUGGUAGAGGUUGGUGGAACUGCGAGUGUAGAGGUGAAAUUCGUAGAUAUUCGCAAGAACACCGGUGGCGAAGGCGGCCAACUGGACCAUUACUGACGCUGAGGCGCGAAAGCGUGGGGAGCAAACAGGAUUAGAUACC